rnacentral:rRNA from 1 species
GAUGAACGCUGGCGGCGUGCUUAACACAUGCAAGUCGAACGGAAAGGCCAGUGCUUGCACUGGUACUCGAGUGGCGAACGGGUGAGUAACACGUGGGUGAUCUGCCCUGCACUUCGGGAUAAGCCUUGGAAACUGGGUCUAAUACCGGAUAGGACACUGGUUUGGAUGCCGUUGUGGAAAGUUUUUUCGCGGUGGGAUGAGCUCGCGGCCUAUCACAUUGUUUGUGGGGGAAUGGCCUACAAAGGCGUCGACGGGGAGCCGGCCUGAGAGGGCGUAAGGCGACAUACGGGGUGGGAGACGGCGCAGAGUCCUAUGGGAGGGGGCAGUGGGGAAUAUUGCGCAAUGGGGGCGAGAGUGAUGCGGAGAGGCGGCGUGGGGGAUGACGGGGCCCUGGGUGUAUACUCCUGUCGCUAGGGGGGAAGCGUAUAAGUGACGGUACCUGGAGAAGAAGCACCGGCUAACUACGUG